rnacentral:rRNA from 1 species
UACGUAGGGUGCAAGCGUUUGUCCGGAAUUAUUGGGCGUAAAGAGCUCGUAGGCGGUUUGUCGCGUCGACUGUGAAAACCUACAGCUUAAACUGUGGGCUUGCAGUCGAUACGGGCAGACUUGAGUUCGGUAGGGGAGACUGGAAUUCCUGGUGUAGCGGUGAAAUGCGCAGAUAUCAGGAGGAACACCGGUGGCGAAGGCGGGUCUCUGGGCCGAUACUGACGCUGAGGAGCGAAAGCGUGGGGAGCGAACAGG